rnacentral:rRNA from 1 species
GCGUCUGAUUAGCUGGUUGGUGAGGUAACGGCUCACCAAGGCAACGAUCAGUAGCCGACCUGAGAGGGUAAUCGGCCACAUUGGAACUGAGACACGGUCCAAACUCCUACGGGAGGCAGCAGUGGGGAAUAUUGCACAAUGGGCGCAAGCCUGAUGCAGCAACGCCGCGUGAGUGAAGAAGGUCUUCGGAUCGUAAAACUCUGUCCUUAGGGAAGAAACAAAUGACGGUACCUAAGGAGGAAGCCCCGGCUAACUACGUGCCAGCAGCCGCGGUAAUACGUAGGGGGCGAGCGUUAUCCGGAAUUAUUGGGCGUAAAGAGUACGUAGGUGGUUUUGUAAGCGUGGGGUGAAAGACCGAGGCUUAACUUCGGUUAGCCUUGCGAACUGCAAGACUUGAGUGCAGGAGAGGAAAGUGGAAUUCCUAGUGUAGCGGUGAAAUGCGUAGAUAUUAGGAGGAACAUCAGUGGCGAAGGCGACUUUCUGGACUGUAACUGACACUGAGGUACGAAAGCGUGGGUAGCAAACAGGAUUAGAUACCCUGGUAGUCCACGCCGUAAACGAUGAGCACUAGGUGUCGGGGUCGCAAGGCUUCGGUGCCGCAGUUAACGCAUUAA